UAUCAUACAUAUCAAGGGUGAUAAUAAUUAUGGACCUGACUGUAUAUAAUGCACAACAUCAUGUCAUUGAGAACUAUCAUACCAGCACAAUGGUAGAUAUACCGUAUAAAAUAUAUUUUAAAGAUAUAAAACACUACAAUACAAGACCUGGCUGAAGAUGUCACAACGAAUGGAUAAUCUGAUAUGUCCCAUUGAAUUAUUACAUUAUAAAGGGCGUGUCUAUAUAUUACAUGGGGUCUUCAAACUGGGGUCUGCACCCCCCUAGGUGUCCACGCAUGUACUGCACCCCCCUAGGUGUCCAUGCAUGUACUGCACCCCCCUAGGUGUCCACACAUGUACUGCACCCCCCUAGGUGUCCACGCAUGUACUGCACCCCCCUAGGUGUCCACGCAUGUACUGCACCCCCCUAGGUGUCCACGCAUGUACUGCAACCCCCUAGGUGUCCACGCAUGUACUGCACCCCC